UCACGAGUUAAGAAAGAGCUGCCACGAACAGUGGUAGAUCCUGACGUAAGCUCGAGAGGAAGCACUGGCUAACUCUGUGCCAGCAGCCGCGGUAAUACAGAGAGUGCAAACGUUGUUCGGAAUCACUGGGCUUAAAGAGCACGUAGGCGGCGCUACAAGUGUCGGGUGAAAUCCCACGGCUCACCCGUGGAACUGCCCGGCAGACUGUGGUGCUCGAGUGUGGUAGGGGAGAGCGGAACUCCAGGUGGAGCGGUGAAAUGCGUAGAUAUCUGGAGGAACACCGGUGGCGAAGGCGGCUCUCUGGUCCACAACUGACGCUGAGGUGCGAAAGCUAGGGGAGCAAACGGGAUUAGAUACCCCGGUAGUCCUAGCUGUAAACGAUGGACACUAGCUUGGGGUCUCCCUGUGUGAUCUCAGGUGAAGCAAAAGUGAUAAGUGUCCGCCGUGGGGAGUAUGGUCGCAAGGCU
rnacentral:rRNA from 1 species